GCUGGGCGUGGUGCCACAUGCCUGUAAUCCCAGCAGCUCAGGAAGCUGAGGCAGGAGGAUUGUGCAUUCAAAGCCAACCUCAGCAAAAGUGAGGUGCUAAGCACUCUCUAGACCCUGUCUCUA
rnacentral:sRNA from 1 species